rnacentral:rRNA from 1 species
CCUACGGGCGGCAGCAGUGAGGAAUAUUGGUCAAUGGGCGCGAGCCUGAACCAGCCAAGUAGCGUGAAGGAUGACUGCCCUACGGGUUGUAAACUUCUUUUAUACAGGAAUAAAGUGAGGCACGUGUGCCUUUUUGUAUGUACUUUAUGAAUAAGGAUCGGCUAACUCCGUGCCAGCAGCCGCGGUAAUACGGAGGAUUCGAGCGUUAUCCGGAUUUAUUGGGUUUAAAGGGAGUGUAGGUGGGUUGUUAAGUCAGUUGUGAAAGUUUGCGGGUCAACCUUAGAAUUGCAAUUGAUACUGGCAGACUUGAGUGCAGUAGAGGUAGGCGGAAUUCGUGGUGUAGCGGUGAAAUGCUUAGAUAUCACGAAGAACUCCGAUUGCGAAGGCAGCUUACUAAACUGCCACUGACAUUGAUGCUCGAAAGUGUGGGUAUCAAACAGGAUUAGAUACCCGUGUAGUC